CAUAUCCAAAUAGCGGAGGAAAAGAAACUAACAAGGAUUCCCCCAGUAACGGCGAGUGAAGAGGGAAAAGCCCAAAUUUGUAAUCUGGCUCUUUCACGAGGGUCCGAGUUGUAAUUUUGAGAACUGUUUUCUGUGCUGGACCAUUUCUAAGUCUGUUGGAAAACAGCAUCAUAGAGGGUGAUAAUCCCGUUUGUGAUAUGGACUACCAGGGCUAUAUGAUACAGUUUCUAAGAGUCGAGUUGUUUGGGAAUGCAGCUCAAAGUGGGUGGUAAAUUCCAUCUAAGGCUAAAUAUAGGUGAGAGACCGAUAGCAUACAAGUACCGUGAGGGAAAGAUGAAAAGAACUUUGGAAAGAGAGUUAACAGUACGUGAAAUUGUUGUAAAGGAAACAUUUAAACUUGUCGUUGUGCUUGUCAGUUCAGCCCUCUUAUCAGGGUGUAUUCUGGCAAAUCACGGACCAACAUCAGUUUUUGAGUGCUGGAUAAGGGUCUUGGGAAUGUAGCAGUUUUGGCUGUGUUAUAGCCCAGGAUUUAGAUACAGUGCUUAGGACUGAGAACAAUUUGCAGCAAGCCCUUUAUUGUGGCAGCCUAUCAUGGGCACCCAUGCUGAGGAUGUUGGUGAGAUAGAUUUAAAUGACCCGUCUUGAACC
rnacentral:rRNA from 1 species